UCCAUAAACCCAAUUUGGUAUGAAUUCAACCAACAGUUUUGCUGCUAGAGUGUUAGCAAACAAACAAACUGAACCAAACAAUACCCCUUGCCUCCCCUUUGCGGGGCAGGGUAAAAGAAUCUUAUUUUAAUCAUUGAAUUGAUUUUAUGCUGAAUAAACAGACCUCAGAUCUGGCUGUAGUAAAUGUAAGACAUAGAAAGGGCUUGGACUUCCACAGUCACAAUUUACACAACUCUAGCAGUUAAUCCAACACCUAUUUUAAAACAAAAGUCUCUCUUGAACACACCACGACAGCCGAAUGGAUGUUCAGGGUCCUGUAGAUCAGUGAUGAUUCAGCCUCCUGUCAUUCUGCCUGUUUGCCUCUCAGAUGUUAACGACAUGAACUCUAUGGGCUCUCCUCCGUGGAACAAAUGAAUUGAUUUAAUACUCAGUCCUGUUCUCCACUAUAUAAACCAUUAUAAACCAAAGAAUUUACAGGAGUUUGACUAAAACAUAACACACAUGGUGAAGAUCCAGGAAAACUAUACUGUAUGUGGGGAGCAUUUUAAGAACAUGAUGCUAUGUUUUUCACACCUUACACUGUAGGUGGGAACAUUUUUCUGAUAUUUUCCAUUCUUCACAUUAUCUUCAUUUUUUCUCUGAUGAACCUUUACAUCUAUAAGAUAUAAUCCAAACACCCUGAAAACUGAUGAUGAGAAUAAAGAAAAAACACCUCUAUUCUACAUUGUAAAAAGACUUUGUGACAACCUGGGUUCAACGUUGUGUCAUGUUUGUGUAAAUGGUGGAAAAGUAACUGCUUUUUUGUGUACAGUAUAAAUUCCAGUCAGUGUGGAUAAAGCACAGAUUACUGAUUGAGAAAACAGAUGAGCAGAGGAAAAUUCUAUCAGACACAGUGAUCUAAAACAAAUUCUGCGGCAGGAUCUCAUCUUUCACACAUUUGCCAAUAUUUCCCCAGAGAGGAGCAGAUGCCUUAUAUGUAUUUGUCAAGAAAUUUGAGAAACAUUCCACUAAAAUGCCAAAAUAAAUGUUCAUUUACGCAUGUACUGUAUAUUUUUAACAAUAACUGCCAUUUAUGAGUAGAAAUAAAGUUGUUUGAAGAUAAA